rnacentral:rRNA from 1 species
GAUGAACGCUGGCGGCGUGCCUAAUACAUGCAAGUCGAGCGAACGGACGAGAAGCUUGCUCCUCUGAUGUUAGCGGCGGACGGGUGAGUAACACGUGGAUAACCUACCUAUAAGACUGGGAUAACUUCGGGAAACCGGAGCUAAUACCGGAUAAUAUUUUGAACCGCAUGGUUCAAAAGUGAAAGACGGUCUUGCUGUCACUUAUAGAUGGAUCCGCGCUGCAUUAGCUAGUUGGUAAGGUAACGGCUUACCAACGCAACGAUGCAUAGCCGACCUGAGAGGGUGAUCGGCCACACUGGAACUGAGACACGGUCCAGACUCCUACGGGAGGCAGCAGUAGGGAAUCUUCCGCGAUGGGCGAAAGCCUGACGGAGCAACGCCGCGUGAGUGAUGAAGGUCUUCGGAUCGUAAAACUCUGUUAUUAGGGAAGAACAUAUGUGUAAGUAACUGUGCACAUCUUGACGGUACCUAAUCAGAAAGCCACGGCUAACUACGUG